rnacentral:rRNA from 1 species
UACGGAGGGUGCGAGCGUUGUUCGGAAUCACUGGGCGUAAAGGGCGUGUAGGCGGUCCGCUAAGUCUGAUGUGAAAGCCCGGGGCUCACCCCCGGAAGGGCAUUGGAAACUGGCGGACUCGAGUCCCGGAGAGGAAGGUGGAAUUCCUGGUGUAGCGGUGAAAUGCGUAGAUAUCAGGAGGAAUACCGGUGGCGAAGGCGGCCUUCUGGACGGUGACUGACGCUGAUGCACGAAGGCCAGGGGAGCAAACGGG